rnacentral:rRNA from 1 species
AGCCCUACGGGGCGCAGCAGUGGGGAAUAUUGCACAAUGGGCGAAAGCCUGAUGCAGCAACGCCGCGUGAAGGAAGAAGGCUUGCGGGUUGUAAACUUCUUUUAUGAGGGACGAAAGAAAUGACGGUACCUCAUGAAUAAGCCACGGCUAACUACGUGCCAGCAGCCGCGGUAAUACGUAGGUGGCAAGCGUUAUCCGGAUUUACUGGGUGUAAAGGGCGUGUAGGCGGGACUGCAAGUCAGAUGUGAAAAUUAUGGGCUCAACCCAUAACCUGCAUUUGAAACUGUAGUUCUUGAGUGAUGGAG